rnacentral:rRNA from 1 species
UACGGGGGGGGCGAGCGUUGUUCGGAAUUACUGGGCGUAAAGGGCUUGUAGGUGGCCAACUAAGUCAGACGUGAAAUCCCUCGGCUUAACCGGGGAACUGCGUCUGAUACUGGAUGGCUGGAGUGUGGGAGAGGGAUGCGGAAUUCCAGGUGUAGCGGUGAAAUGCGUAGAUAUCUGGAGGAACACCGGUGGCGAAGGCGGCAUCCUGGACCAUUACUGACACUGAAAAGCGAAAGCCAGGGGAGCAAACGGG